rnacentral:rRNA from 1 species
UGAACGCUGGCGGCGUGCCUAAUACAUGCAAGUCGAGCGACCAGACGAGGAGCUUGCUCCUCUGACGUUAGCGGCGGACGGGUGAGUAACACGUGGAUAACCUACCUAUAAGACUGGGAUAACUUCGAGAAACCGGAGCUAAUACCGGAUAAUAUAUUGAACCGCAUGGUUCAAUAGUGAAAGACGGUUUUGCUGUCACUUAUAGAUGGAUCCGCGCCGCAUUAGCUAGUUGGUAAGGUAACGGCUUACCAAGGCAACGAUGCGUAGCCGACCUGAGAGGGUGAUCGGCCACACUGGAACUGAGACACGGUCCAGACUCCUACGGGAGGCAGCAGUAGGGAAUCUUCCGCAAUGGGCGAAAGCCUGACGGAGCAACGCCGCGUGAGUGAUGAAGGUCUUCGGAUCGUAAAACUCUGUUAUUAGGGAAGAACAAAUGUGUAAGUAACUAUGCACGUCUUGACGGUACCUAAUCAGAAAGCCACGGCUAACUACGUG